rnacentral:tRNA from 1 species
UGGGGAAGUACCCAAGUGGUGAAGGGGUCGGUUUGCUAAACCGAUAGGUCGCGCAAGCGGCGCAAGGGUUCAAAUCCCUUCUUUCCCGU